GGCCCCGCGGCACCAGAAGUUGGGCUGGUCCAGGAGGAACGAGUCCGAGAACUGGCUGAAGCCGAUGAACAGCGCCGGGAUCCAGAGCUAAUACAUGCAAAGUUCUGACCUCCAUGCCUGGAACAGACGGCUGAUUUUCCAGAAGACGUCCACUUUGUGUCUGGCUCUGCCUCCUUUCCCCCACAGUCACAAGGACCCAUUUGUUUUCUUGUAACUGAUCACAAAAGGAGCAUUGCCAUUGACCUUAAUGGCCCUUCCAAUCAGAAUAACUAUCAUAGCCAGCGUUUCAGAGUUGGCUUUCAAAUUCACACUCACUCAGUCCUCACAUUCAGCGCCCCAAGAAGUGGGCUUUCAAAGAGAAACAGCAAGGAUCAGGUGACUGACUACCAGAUCAAAGAGUUGGUCCCCAGCUGAACCAAAUAUCUGGUUUUGAACCCAGAUUUUCUGACUGGACAUUACCGGAUUUCUCCAUUUCAUCAUACAGGGGCAACUAUAGGGAAGAGUUUACAAAGAUGUUUGUUAAUGUGCAUUUUUACGUGGGAGAAACCCUGGCCCUAGGAAAAGAGUUUCAUUGUGAAGAUGUUAUUAGUCUUUGUUCGCAAAAGGUGGUAAAAAUCCUCAAAUGGUACAUUCUUAGAAUUUAGGGACACACUGGAAAAUGGUAUCCUCUAAAACUGAAGCUAAAAGGAGGCAACAUAAAAUGUUUGAAAUUAACUAGCUGCAGCACUGACCCAGGCAUUGUAAUUAAGCUGUUGAUUAGAUUAGAGGUUUCCCUAAAUCCCUCCUGGAUUGAUAUUUCCACCAAAUCUAGUCAAGAAGAUUAAAGUGUAACUACUUUAAAAUAAAGUGGCCUUCAAUUUAUUAAAACAUACCACAAGUGAUCUCAUAACGUGAGCAAAAGGAGUAAAGAGGAAGAAUUUGACACUCUGACAGCCUCAGUGGGUGAGGUUUGAGAUGCAUGGACCAGGAUAGGAAAGCCAGACACCUGUUAAAAAAUUACUGUUUUUAAUUUUCUGCAUGAUCAUUAUCAUCAGCUGCUAUUUUUCUUGUUUGCUUAGUUAGAUUUACGUUCUGCCUCUAGAAUGUAAGCACCUUCGGGGAUAGGUGCCUUGUGCUCAGCUGUAUGCUUGGUGGUUAAAACAGUGCCUGGUACAUGCAAGGCGCUCAAUACAUCUUUGUCAAAUAAAUGAGUGUAUCAAGUUAUUAAUCACUUGAUGAUACUGUCUAUUCAAAUCAUCAAACUGUUUACUUUGUUUCUUAAAUCAUCAAGCAACCUUUUUGUGUUUGUUCAUCUCUCAAAGAUGGUGCUCACAUCAGCCAACAUGAGACUUGAAAUGAAUUUGACAAUUAUAUGUCUUGUUGUAAGGCAUUGUGGUUACUGGAUUAGCUCCCAAUAUUAUCUUCUCUUGGGCAGUAUUGGCUUGCAGAUGGUGGCUUAUAGGCCAAAUGCAGCUCACAGACCAUAGGCAAUGUUUUCAGGAAAAUAAUUGCUAACAUUUCAAAAUUGGGAGAUUGAAUACUUAGAAAAAAAUGUGUUUUGGGCUUCUCUGAACAUAGCAGAAGCCAUUGUCCUUUUGAUGCCCCAUGUUUGCAGGACCGUGCUUUCUUGGACUGCAGUAAAUGAGCAGGCACUCUCCAGCUUGCCCUCAUCCCUGCCUGACACAUGCCCCUCAUGCAUGUCAUUUGGCCCCCAAAAGUAGCCGUGUUUGUGACCCUAAAUUGAUGUGAGUAUCCUGAACCCAGUGAUCUUCAUAAAGAAGCUGAGUCAUUCCCUUUUCCUUUGAAAGUAUGUUAAAGAAUCUACCAGUUUAUAGUUUCCUAAAAAUUGAGAAAAUAAAGAAAGGAAAUGAAAGUCAUAACCUAAUCACCAAUACAUUUGAACAGUUUUAUUUCCUUGGAGAUAACAGGAGAAAAAAAUUUUUAGCUUACCUCUAAAAUUGAUGGAAACCUAAUUUUAAAUCCUCUAUAAUUCUGUAAAAGUUAAUUCUAAGGAAUUCAAGUGAGGGUUAAUUAACUUUAAAUGUACGCUACAAGUCAUACCAAAUGGAUUUCACAUUGGUUUCUCUGAUUAUUCAUGGUCUUUAUACUUGAAUUAUAGAUAGAUAUAUCACAUUUUAGAAUAUCCUGUGUCAUUUUUUUUUAAACUGCAGCUUGAUUUCUUCCUUUCAAAUAACUGUUUGAAAAUUAGGUUACCUUGAUUUUGGGAGGGUGGGAGAAAGUGAUUGAAAUUAUUUCCAACUCUAGUUGUGUAUACUUGAAUAUUAUUUACAUCAUCCUUUGCCUUUUGGAAUGUCAAGUCUGACUCUUUAACAAGAAAUUUGACAUUUACAAAACCUAUCACAAAUGAAAAUGAAAAAGCUACUUUGGUUAAGUGACAGAAGUAAUAAAAAUGUCACAUAAUCUGUCCUAAGGAAAGCUACAGGUAGUAUCUUGAGAAAAACUACCUACUCAUCUAGUACAAGACAAAUUCACCAAAAGGCCAAGUGAAAACAGAAAAAGUGAAGAUAAGACUUCUAUGCAAAAAGCUACUCCAUUGUAAAUGUGAUGGCUAGGGCCCAGUUACUUUCAAAGUUUGGUCAAAGUUUAAUUUUGAACUCUUUUAUUGAAUUAAAAAAAUUAGUGAAGCAAAUCGAUCUAAAAUUUGAUGUUGGCUUUUGUUUGAUGAAAAUCAUAGAUGUCAUCUUUGUCUUACUGUACUUAAGAAUGUUCUUUGGGCCAGGCGCGGUGGCUCACGCCUGUAAUCCCAGCACUUUGGGAGGCCGAGGGGAUCACGAGGUCAGGAGAUCAAGACCAUCCUGGCCAACAUGGUGAAACCCCAUCUCUACUAAAAAUACAAAAAUUCGCUGGGCAUGGUGGUGCACACCUAUAGUCCCAGCUACUCGGGAAGCUGAGGCAGAAGAAUCACUUGAACUGGGAGGCAGAGGUUGCAGUGAGCCAAGGUCAUGCCACACUGCACUCCAGCCUGGUGACUGAGCAAGACUCCAUCUCAAAAAAGAAAAAAAAAAGAAUGUUCUUUGACACACACACACACACACACACACACACGAAAAUAACACAAUGCCAAGACUUAUAAGUGAAUAUUAUAUGUUUUAUUCUAGCAUGGAAACAGCCUCUUCUGUUUGAUGAGAAUCAUCCCAAAGUUGGCAUAUGAAGCUUGAGUUUCAAGUAUGGAUGCUGAGCUCUUGACAGUGGGUGAACAAACUGCAGAUAAUCAUUGUUAGAAGGGCUUGUGGAAAGAACAAUGAAGUAACCAGAGCUUAGAUGAAAGAAGUUUCACUUUUCAAAUGAGAUAAACUAAUGUUCUUUAAACAACCCUUUUGUUCUAAUGCUUUUCCUACUAAUUCUAAAUGGAGGUGAAGAAAAACACACAGAUGGAUGUAACCAAAUCUAAAGUUAUUAAAUGGAUUUUUUUUUCUAUGACUGGAAGCUAGCGGGCAACAAGAGGAAUGAAUAUUCCUGAAGGAGGCAGAUUAUUAGACCCAGAGUAUACUUUCUGAGGCAAGCUGUUUUGACCAAGACAUUGGUUUAUUUAACUUCUUUCUUUAAUAAGGCUGGUUUGAAUUUAUUACCAUUAGAUAGUCAUAAAUGACUUUUCAUAUUUAAAAAAAUGGCUGUGUAUGCAUAUUAUUUUCAGUCCAAAUUCUAGGCCAUCUAAGAGGGCUUCGAAUUAAAAUUUAUCGUUCCUAUAGCAAAAUACAUGUAAAUAUAUGGAUAAAGUCACUAAAACAUUCUAAGUUAACAGUAUUUUUAAGGUUUUGAAUUUUGAACUUUGAGGAAAGCACUUUUUCUAUUUAUAAGGUGAUUUAACACCCUAGUAUCAACAA